UUCCACAUCAAUGCAUCCUUAGUAGAGACCGGAACUUCAGGCAAAAUGCCUAUUUUUUCCUGGAGCCCGUUUCGAGCCUAUUUAACAUAUAAGCACGAACUAAGGGAAGGGAAACGUUUUAAUCAAACAUUUAUUGUGCCUAUAAAUGCCUAUUUCGAGCUUUGUGCCUAUAUCAGCUUUUCAGCGCCUAAAAAUGCCUUUUCGCAUUCGUCGAGUACACGUUUUGCUUAAAUGAGCUGUUCAUACGGAGGAAAACAAGAAGCAUUUAGUGUGGCGAUAUUAACUUCAACAGUCGCAUAGCGCGCUAGUUAUGUUUUUUUUUUGUUUA
rnacentral:lncRNA from 1 species